rnacentral:rRNA from 1 species
UGGGGAAUAUUGCACAAUGGGCGCAAGCCUGAUGCAGCCAUGCCGCGUGUAUGAAGAAGGUUUUCGGAUCGUAAAACUCUGUUGUUAGAGAAGAACAAGGACGUUAGUAACUGAACGUCCCCUGACGGUAUCUAACCAGAAAGCCACGGCUAACUACGUGCCAGCAGCCGCGGUAAUACGUAGGUGGCAAGCGUUGUCCGGAUUUAUUGGGCGUAAAGCGAGCGCAGGCGGUUUCUUAAGUCUGAUGUGAAAGCCCCCGGCUCAACCGGGGAGGGUCAUUGGAAACUGGGAGACUUGAGUGCAGAAGAGGAGAGUGGAAUUCCAUGUGUAGCGGUGAAAUGCGUAGAUAUAUGGAGGAACACCAGUGGCGAAGGCGGCUCUCUGGUCUGUAACUGACGCUGAGGCUCGAAAGCGUGGGGAGCAAACAGG